rnacentral:rRNA from 1 species
UACGUAGGGUGCGAGCGUUAAUCGGAAUUACUGGGCGUAAAGCGUGCGCAGGCGGUCUGUUAAGACCGAUGUGAAAUCCCCGGGCUUAACCUGGGAACUGCAUUGGUGACUGGCAGGCUUUAAGUGUGGCAGAGGGAGGUAGAAUUCCACGUGUAGCGGUGAAAUGCGUAGAUAUCUGGAGGAACACCGGUGGCGAAGGCGGCAUCCUGGGCCAACACUGACGCUGAGGAGCGAAAGCCAGGGGAGCAAACGGG